rnacentral:rRNA from 1 species
UACGAAGGGAGCUAGCGUUGUUCGGAAUCACUGGGCGUAAAGCGCACGUAGGCGGAUUUGUCAGUCAGGGGUGAAAUCCCGGGGCUCAACCUGGGAACUGCAUCUGUGACUGUAUAGCUAGAGUACGGUAGAGGGGGAUGGAAUUCCGCGUGUAGCAGUGAAAUGCGUAGAUAUGCGGAGGAACACCAGUGGCGAAGGCGGCUCACUGGUCCGGUACUGACGCUGAGGUGCGAAAGCGUGGGGAGCAAACAGG